UAAAAAAUUCAUCUGUGUCUAGCAGUUCUUUCUCAAAUUCAGUUUUGGGAAAGGAAGGUUCAAUGUCAGAAUCAUUUCUACCUUUCCCCACAAUUUCAAAAACUGACCAAGCUAAUCAAACGGUUGCAACUGAAUCUGUUAUGCCCAGUAUUUCUGUCAGCAGAUCAUUCUUAACCAAUCAGUAUAACAGGCCACAUCAAGCAGCUAUGGGUCUUCAGAAAGUCGCUCAGCAUAAUAAGGAGUGGAAGCCAAAAUCAAGCCAAAAAACAAGUCUUGGUAGCCCUGGAGUGAUUGGAACGCCUACAAAAUCUAGUUCACCUCCAGCUGACAA
rnacentral:misc_RNA from 1 species